rnacentral:rRNA from 1 species
GUCGGGGAACUCAAGGAGACUGCCGGUGAUAAACCGGAGGAAGUGGGAUGACGUCAAGUCAUCAUGGCCCUUACGAGUAGGGCUACACACGUGCUACAAUGGCAUAUACAAAGAGAAGCGAACUCGCGAGAGCAAGCGGACCUCAUAAAGUAUGUCGUAGUCCGGAUUGGAGUCUGCAACUCGACUCCAUGAAGUCGGAAUCGCUAGUAAUCGUAGAUCAGAAUGCUACGGUGAAUACGUUCCCGGGCCUU